rnacentral:rRNA from 1 species
UACGGAGGGUGCAAGCGUUGUCCGGAUUUAUUGGGGUUAAAGGGUGCGUAGGCGGCCCUGUAAGUCAGUGGUGAAAGCCUCCAGCUCAACUUGAGAACUGCCAUUGAUACUGCAGGGCUUGAGUACAGACGAGGUUGGCGGAAUUGAUGGUGUAGCGGUGAAAUGCAUAGAUACCAUCAAGAACUCCGAUUGCGUAGGCAGCUAACUAGGCUGUAACUCACGCUGAGGCACGAAAGCGUGGGGAGCGAACAGG